rnacentral:lncRNA from 1 species
UUUUUUGAAUACUUUUAUACAAACCAUAAUAUUUCCUUAAUCUUUCUACUCUAUUUCCUAUUUUUCACUAUUUACUGGAUCUCUGAAAGUUUAGUCGGCUCACUUUUGUGCUACUUUGAAACUGUUCUGAAUGAGAUGGUUGAUGGCUUAUUCACCUCGCCGAUUGCAUUUCUAGAAGUGGCCGUCCUAAUUUCACACACGGAAGAACAAUCUUACUUUUAGAACAAUGCAUCGCACUUUUCGACCAACCGGGCACAUUUAAACUUACACUUCUGAUUGUUUACUAUCCUAAAAGAGUAGUUUACUAUUUUUAAAAGGUUUGUGAUGUUGAAAAAUAUU